rnacentral:rRNA from 1 species
AUUGAACGCUGGCGGCAGGCCUAACACAUGCAAGUCGAACGAGUGGCGGACGGGUGAGUAAUGUCUGGGAAACUGCCUGAUGGAGGGGGAUAACUACUGGAAACGGUAGCUAAUACCGCAUACCAUCAGAUGUGCCCAGAUGGGAUUAGCUAGUGGGUGGGGGAACGGCUCACCAAGGCGACGAUCCCUAGCUGGUCUGAGAGGAUGACCAGCCAAACUGGAACUGAGACACGGUCCAGACUCCUACGGGAGGAAGCAGUGGGGAAUAUUGCACAAUGGGCGAAAGCCGGAUGCAGCAAGGCCGCGGGUAUGAAGAAGGCCUUCGGGUUGUAAAGUACGUUCAGCGGGGAGGCGGUACCCGAAGAAGAAGCACCGGCUAACUCCGUGCCAGCAGCCGCGGUAAUUC